rnacentral:rRNA from 1 species
AUGCCCAAGGAGCUAGGCGGGCUUGGAGUGAUUAAUCUCAAAUAUUUCGGGAUCGCCUUGCGCUGCAGAUGGCCAUGGUUGCGCUGGGAGGAGGAAGCGAGACCAUGGCAAGGGCUGCCCGACACCACAGAGAAGGAAGUAGAUGCGAUUGUCCAUGCAGCCUGUCGAAUCAAACUAGGCAACGGGGAGUUGGCCAAGUUCUGGACAGACAAAUGGCUACCGGAUGGCCGUUCUAUUGCUGAAAUGGCGCCACAAUUGUUCUCCUUCGUCAAGGAUAAAGGACAAUCGGUAAUGGAGGCGUUGAGCAACCACGCAUGGACAAGAGAUCGCGGGGGUAUCUCCCUGCCGGCUAUUGCACAAUACCUCAAAGUCUGGGAUUUGGCUCAAUCCACCUUGCUGGAAGGGGGUGCACGUGACACCCCAAUCUGGACCCGGACUAAGGAUCAACAGUUUUCUGUCGCAAGCGCCUAUCGGUUGUUCUUUUUGGGGAAUACAAGCUUCGCCUGCUACAAGCCAAUUUGGAAAUCCAAGGCCCCACCACGUUGUAA